UACGAAGGGUGCAAGCGUUACUCGGAAUUACUGGGCGUAAAGGGUGCGUAGGUGGUUCUUUAAGUCCGCUGUGAAAUCCCCGGGCUCAACCUGGGAAUGGCAGUGGAUACUGGAGAGCUAGAGUGCGGUAGAGGGUAGUGGAAUUCCCGGUGUAGCAGUGAAAUGCGUAGAGAUCGGGAGGAACACCAGUGGCGAAGGCGGCUACCUGGACCAGCACUGACACUGAAGCACGAAAGCGUGGGGAGCAAACAGG
rnacentral:rRNA from 1 species